AGGAGGUACGAGGAGGGGGAGGGGAGCAGAACACAAAGACUUUAUCUCGUUCUCACCAAGCAGGUUUCAGAAUAGGAACUUAAUGGGAAGAAAGAAUAAAAAUAAAAGAGGAGUGUGAGAACUGUGCACCACAAGUUUACCAGUCUGCGAAUAUUUUUUUUCCUUCUGAAGAUUCUGUUUUCCUCAUAUUGAAACAUUUUCCAAUUUUAAUCCUUUAGCAGACAAAACCUCAAUAUAAAUAUGACAUGGGCCACUGGCAAAAAAACGAACUGAAACUCAGUGGGCAGAGGGGAGGGUGUAGGGAGAAGAGAGAGCCCUUUCUGAUUAAUAACUAGCAGGGUAAUGUUGAGGGCUUUUUCUGCCCGAUUGCCUUUUUGAAUUAGAGCCGAUUUCUUCACACUUCAAUAGUGCCUGUCUCCUUUAAAAUGACUGGCAGAUCUGUUUCUCUUUUUUCUCUCCCUGAGACUUAAUGAUGUAAAUUUUCUAAUUAGUUAAAUCAUAUUGCUUAAAGGGCUAAUAUUUACCGUGCAAGAAAUGAUUAUUCUGAUUUGGACCUCUUGAAAUAUUUCGAGAAAUAACAUUUGGCUUUUAGGUUGAGGGAUGAGAGAGGGGGAGGCGCUGAUGGAGUGAGGGAAGGCGCGGACCGGCAACAUGUUAAAUUAAUAGUUCAAGUUGAGCUGGGCUCACACCCCAAUUCCGCUUUUAUUUUUCAAUCAGCGAAGAUUUAAUUGGCAGCCCUCGGGCCGGGCGAUCUGAUAUUUUCUCAUUAGUUUCCCAUCACUAAUCUUGAGUGUUAGAUUGGCUUACAGGUUGUCAACAUUUGACCAAUUUUAUUUAGGGGGGGGCGCAUUAUGACUCCGGGAUGUGAGAUCUGCAAAUAAAUCCUGCUUGGAUCAGCGGAACUAACAGGCGAAAAAAAUGUUGACUAUUCAUCGUCGCAUCUAAUAAGUUGCAUUAAUGUAUAUUUCAAGACGCGUGAUUAUACGUGCGCUGUAAAGACACAGACGCAAAGAGGUCGGUGUGGGAGCACUAAGCUAGCUGAAGUGAAACGCAGAUAUAUUUCGAGCCGAAGGUAAAUAACCCGAGUAGAAUCUCUGCUGAGGGUUUAGGAGCUAUGAUCCUCCUCCCCUUCCUCUUGCAGCUGCGUGAAACCGCCAAGCCUGUGUCGCCAGCUCUGAGCGGCUCGGCCGGUUGGUCCACAGAUAACAUCAGAGCGCCCCCUGCUGGCCAGCAGGACAGACCGUGGCGGGCCAGCCCCCUGCGAAGCCCACGGUGUUUUUCUGCGCUCCCCACCCUCCCUUCCUGCUCUUUCCACCGUUCCCACCCGUGACCGGCUGCAGCAAGGGAAUAGCUUGUCAAGGCUGAGCAUUUAAAUGAAUAAAUGAUGAAAAUAAUAACAAAAUAGGAAGGUACCCACACCUUCACUUGGCCUCGGGGAAUAAACGACCAAAUGCCUUAGCAAAAGGAUACAUUUUAAAAAAAUCUCUUUAUUCUGUGGGGUUUUGCUGUAGUUUGUUUUUUUCCCCCCUUGCAGGUUUAACGUCCAAAGAAAUGUUUUAAUGGAUAAUUCAGAAAGUUUUUUUUAUUAUUGAAAAAUAGAUAUCUGAUGAGGGGAAACCAGGAACGCCAAAUAAUAUUUCUUGUAUUCGAAAAAUUAAACUCCUGGGGGAAAUUUCACAGUUUCACAAAAGUCUACAGGAAUCGCUUUUGGAAUUUAGGCAGUUUCCAAUUUGGGGUGACCCUUUUAUGCACAACAAAGAGGAUCUGUCCCUCUCUGUCUGUCUUUCUUAGUUGUCACCGUAUCUACACACAAAUAGGUCUUUUCCACGCGUAUUUUCUUUUCUGGCCCUGCUUUCUCGCUUUUGCUGGAGGCAGAAAGGGUGGCUGGAGCGCACCCCAACAUCGCGCCAGAGUGCGGGCAUUUCAUCUCACCCAGUGCAAGGUGCGCUGCACGGUUUCAGAGGGUUGGGGUUCGGUGCAGAGCGGCAUCCUUCCAAUGUCCGGAUUACUCUUGCCUGGGAUUUCUGCGCGGUGGGGAAGGCGAAGGCUCACAGACAAAGAAAGGAAAAAUCAGCCAAGGAACCUGCUUUAAACACUCUGGAUCUGUUGCUGGUGAGAGAUUGUCCUUCACUUGUGGUGUGCUCGGUUGGGUUACAAAGGAAAAGGAAUUGAAUGAUGCCUCCCUGGGAUAAAAAGAAAGCACUAAUAUCAGUUGCAGAUGCCGCAGGAUCAGAGCAUCUCAACCUCUCUCCCGCGGAGAGAGCUUGCACUGGAGCGAUAUCUCCACCAGAGACUCAGGAAACAGAGGGUGUCUGCGGAGAGGGGAGAGGAUGGGACCUCCUAGCGCCUGCUCUUCCCACCUGUUCCCUGCCACCAAACUGGAGCGAAGUGGCCUCCAGUCUCCAAGGGGCACUCACGAGGGUGUGUCGCCAAACCAAAGCCCAGGAGCCUGCCAAAGGGAAAAGACCUAUGGGUCAGAGGCACAUGCCACUGCCUGUCUGGCUGCCUGGCCGGCCGCCUGCGCUUGGGUGGACAAAAGGCUCACAGGUCACGCUGGUGUCCUAGCUUCUGUAUGGAGGGAGCAGGCGCUGUAGUGUGGGCGCGAGCGCUGGGACACACGUGCACUGGUGUCUGUAUCAAGCCUCAGACGUCAACUGGGAAAGUUCCCGACCCUGCGCGUCCCCUUCCACAGAUCCUACCGCAUCCCCACCUGCUACCUAGGUCCCCCAGAGCCACACCCGGACAGGUGUGCCAGCCUUGAACCGACAACCUCAGGGGAAAGACCCAAGCGAGGAGAGGCGAAGGUCGUAGGAUGGGCGGGGUCAAGAAGAAGGAUGGAGUUCCUCGAGCUUGGAUAGUCCUACGUUGCAGCGUUGCAGCGACUGUCACCACACUCAGUCUUUCCCGCCCAGACCUACCCAGUCUAAAAGGCAAAGAGAUUGAUUCUGGCAAACAGCGGACUCUGGGAAACCUCGGGGGUUGCCACAGACUCCUGAGACUGGGCAGGCUUGGCUUAGGUUCGAAAACACGGUUUUAAUUUUCUUAAUGAAGGCACGCUCUAGAGCUCAGCUGGUAAUGGCUGUGCCGAGUUUAAUAGACUUCUGUCGACCAGCAAAAGACGGAUAACUAUCGGUUAUAAGUAAUCUGCUCUAAUGCAAUUAUUUUUCCAGGUUCAAAAGUCAUUCUGCAGAGAGGGCAGGAGUGAAUUAAGCCCCCAGGGAACUGUGGACAUAGGACACAAGACCGCCUGAAACCGGAUCUGAACCUGGUUGGAGAGAUACUUGGGCUUGGGGGAGGCGUCCAAGGCUUCUCUGACCUCAAUGUUCCCACCUCCCCUCUCACCUCUCACCCAUCCAUCCUUCUUCCUCCACUAUUGGUCCCUGUCUCCUUUCCAUCUCACUCUUUUUUUUUCCCCUCAGCUCUUGAAGAGUGAAUGUUAAUUCUCUCUCCUCUAUUUACCUCAUGUUUGGGGGUGGGGUUGUAAUUCAGACUGUCUAUUGAGUCCAAAGUAUUUCACUCAUACAGAAGUCACUAUUGGACUGUCAGGAGUUGAAAUGGAAUUGUGUGUGAUGUUUAGAAUAUCAGUGUGGUCAUGAACACACAGCUAAUAAUAUAUAUAUAUAUAUAUAUAUAUAUAUAUAUAUAUAUAUAUUUCUAGCUGAACAUGGAACCAAGCCCAUCUGUGUCACCAUAAAGUUAGCCUACUUUGAAGUUUUUACACAAAUUAUCAUUCCAGGCAGUUUUUAUUUGGAAUUACCCAAGCUCUCCUCAGCUAUCUACUUCACUUGGCCCGAAACACAAACCUCAGGGAAUCGUGAUUUAAAGAUAUAAAAACUAGAGGGAGUCGUUAAUUUUCCUUCGCACAGAAACCAAGCCAGGAACCCAGUGUGCCCAGAAAGAGCAUCUGGGGAGCCUGGGGCUUCUGGCAGGAGCACUUUACCCCCAGACCAGCUGCAGGACAAAGGAGGUUCUUGGAAGGAGUGCUAAGAAACCCGAGGUGUCCAUUCCAGACCCGAGAGCACCACCACCCACCUCCAGUGUGAGAGAACCGUGAUGUAACUGGAAUGCAGCAAAGCCCACUCCUCACUCCUCCGUAGCCUUGCGUGUUGCAUGCACUAUACGCCAGCCCCAUCUUAUUCUUUCCUUUUUAAAGUACAAGCACAAAGCUCUGCAGUUACUAUCUCCUCUCCUUUGCCCCAAGCCUGCCCCAUCCCAUGCCUUCUACAGCAAGAAGGUUAAAUGGAGCUAAACCCCGUGGACACCCCUUCUUCAGGUCUCAGCAGCUGAGGGCACAGCUGGCAUCUAGUCAUAGGAAGUUGAGAACAGCCAAGAGGGAGACCCUCUUACCUCCUGGCCCUGUAGUGUACACCUCUCCUAGAGGGUCGGAGUUCUGCAAGAGGUGUGGGCAAUUCUGGUUUCUCUCCCUCCUUCCCAAGCUCUUCCUAAGCUCCUGGGUCCUCAAUCCUGAAGGAUUCCCAGGGCUUGCAGACUCUGGACAGAGGGAACACAUGGGAUUUGUCAUCUAAUUGAAGAGGAGGUGGCCUUGGAAAGUCACCAGCCAAAAGAACCACAUUCAGCUCAUUAAGUGCUGAGAAUCCAGUAGCCUUUAAUUAAAUCCUGAGAAAAGUGCGAGAAGUCACUGGCCAUGCCACUCAGCCCUACUCUUCCAUCCUGUCACAGUCACCCCUACCUAGGUCUAUUAUCCAAUCAGAGGGCAGGCCCGCAGCCACUGUUAGUUGAGGGACUAUAACAAUGGAACAAUGAAGCCCAGAAAGCCCCCAGGCUUUUGCUAUGGUUUCCUGUAGUAGGAGAGCAGAGGAAAGAGACAGUCUGCCCCCAAAGUGGCUUUUUAAAGUCCCCCCCUUAGAUGAGCAGAGUUGAGAAGGACUUGAUAAAAGUGAAGACAAGCCUGUUAGUUACCUUCUCUACCCAGGAAGCAACCUGUAUAUGUUAAAGAGCCCAUCUCUGCUCUCACCAGCCAAGACACCUGAGCAAGGCAUCUCAGGGCCCCUGACAACCUCUCCUCCAGAGUUCUGCGUUCCUGAGCCCUCUCAGGCCAUCUGACCUCUGAAGCAAAGGACUAGAUUGGUCUGGAGAACAUAGGCCUCAACAGGAGGCCAGGUUCUCUCUCAUUCACGCAUUUGCCUUAUGAGGAAAACAUUUCUCUUCCAUUGUUUUUGCUGUGAUAUCAAUGUAUGAUCACGUGCACAUUGUGCUUAGAGUUGUCUAAAGUGGACUGGCUUGAACAUAGUACACUUUUUUUUUUGUUUUGUUUUUUUCGAGACAGAGUUUCUCUGUGUAGCUUUGCAUCUUUCCUGGAACUCACUCCAUAGCCCAGGUUGGCCUCGAACUCACAGAGAUCCUCCUGCCUCUGCCUCCCGAGUGCUGGGAUUAAAGGCGUGCGCCACCGCCACAGUAUACUCUUAAAAACAAAACAAAUAUGGAUAGAGAGCCUUGAGCACCCGGGACCCUCUUCCACUGCCUUUCCAAAUAAGAUUUACUGGCCAUUGUACUUACUUUGAGACAGGGCUCACUGUGUAGCCCUGGCUAGCCUGGAACUUGCUAUGUAGACCAGGUUGGCCUUUAAUUCACACAGAUCCCUCUGCCUGAUUCCCAAGUGCAGGGAUUAAAUGUGUGUGUCAGCCACAAUACUAGGCAAGAUAGGAGCAUGGCAGCUUAAUCCCAUAAUUCUAGCACUUUGGAGGAAAGCUGAGGCAGGAGGUUCACCAUAAAUUCCAUUCAAGACUAUGCAGUACGAGCCUGUCUCAAACAAACAAGAAUCUGAGGUGACAAGAGCUUCACAGACAAUACUCCUCGAAUAAUAUAUGGUUACAUCUUUAUGCUCCCUUAAAAGAAGUCGGGGCGACCCUGUGAUGUCAGAGACGAACCUUUUCUGCUUCUGUAUUUACAUAGCUUUCCCAGUCAUACAGGUUAAGUCAUCUGCUCCCAGGGUGCUUUGCCCACCACAGCAGUGUGAAGAAGGUAUUCAGUCUUACUUUACAGCACACCCACAAGCUUCAGGACUUUAUGUUCAAGGCGAGUGUAGAGUCGGGUCAUGGGUAUCAACUAGUUCAGAUAACCCACCUCAAUCAUCACAAUUUUAUUUUUAACUUAUGUUCAAUUUGAUUUCCCUGCGCUGUUCUUAAUAAACUUUAAAAAACCCAACAGGAGUACACGAUACCCACCCUCUCCUAUGAUACAUUUGUAAAAUCAUGUCCUAUAAAGCUCCCUUAACGUCCCCAUGGAAACCAAGGUCUCUCCAAUUAGAUUGGGAAACAUGGCUAUCAUGUUAAUUCAAAGGCAGUUGACUCAAAGAGCCAUCAAUGGUUAGUAAAUUCUGACAACUUUUCUAGCAUUUCUCUGAAUUUCCAAGCCGAGAUCUGCAGGCUUGUUGAGACAUUCCCUAUAUGUGCAACGGUCAUCAUUCGGAUGGAGCCAGACAAUGGAUAAGAAAGCAGCUUUCAAAGAUGUAGUUGACAAUUCAUUCCUCUUCUUUCUGAGGCAUGGCUCCCCAUGUAGCUCCUGCCUGGCUUGGAAUUCACUGUCUCCAGCCUGCCUUGAACUGGCAGCAUUUCUCACACCUCACCCUCCUGAGCACUGGCGUUACGGACAUGCACAACCGUAGCUAUUUUUUAAAAAUUCAUUUCUACCAUCUACCCAAAGUUUUCUAGGCAUUAUUUAAUAGAUAACGAAGUUCUCCAGACUCAUGCAAGCCACAUCUGGAAGCACUUCCUCUGCCCUGCCCAUCACCACCCCCUACCAGAGAAAGCAACAGCCUAAGGAUCCCCCCCCCCAUCAUAUGAUAGCAUCAGCUUUUAAUCAGUGAAAGGCACUCCUAUUUAAAUUUACAGGAUGACUCUUUAUUUCAUUUAUCUUUUCUUUUGGAGGAAAGUGAAACAAGAGCACCACCCUUAUUAAUUAUAAGAUUGAUGGGGUGAAAAAAGCCAAAUGAAUUUGGCUUGCAAAUUAUUAGUGGAGGUAUGAAUAUUUAUGAGUGUGCCAGGAACUGCAGUCAUGAACCCUGGGUAUCAAGCUUGGGAGACAGUCAGACCAAUGCCUUCCAUGAGGCUCAGCCUUCCCAAAUCUGACAUGACAUAAACGGGAAACUUCUAAAUUAGACACAGGGUGGGCUCCCAUCAAAUAAGUUACUUUUUUCCCCAGUGUGUGGGUAGCCUUGCUAAAGAUGAACUCAUUUCCAAAGCCUCUGUCAUGAGCUUUAAGAAUCUUUUACAAUGAAAGGCAGAUAAGCUGUAUGAAGAAGAUCUUUGUGUUUUUUCCUACUUGAUAUUCAUCUAUUUUAAAUUGUUUUCUGUAAAAUAUUUGUGCUAUGCAAUUUCAAAAUGUAAAACUGUUUUCAUUCAGUGUAAAAAUACUGGAAAGCUAAAAUAUUCCAAGCAUAGACGUGACUAAGGUGUGUGUGUGUGUGUGUGUGUGUGUGUGUGUGUGUGUACACUUAUAAUAUAUAUGUAUGUAUGUAUGUAUGUAUAUGAUAUAGUGAAGCACCCUUUUAAUCCUAGAACUCAGGAGGCAAUGGCAGGUGGAUCUCUGAAUUUGAGGCUAGCCUGAUCUACACAGUGAGUUCAAGGCCAGCCUGAUCUACAGCAAGAGGAGCCUAUCUCCAAGAAAGAAAGUAAGUAAAUGAAUCAAAAGCAGGAUUCAGAAAUCUGAAGAAAAAAACCCCCUCUAUCUUCCUCUCUACUGGACCUGGCAGAAUGUCUUGAGCUCUUUGGAAGGGGUGCCAGGGGUCUGGCAUUGAAUGAGCUCAGUUUCUUUACCCAUUUCUUUCUGCCGGGUGUGUGAGCAGGGGCUGAUCGAACCCUAUAUAAAAAUGACUCCCUGUGACAUCAGAGUCUGCUUUGUAGAUCCUCUUUGAAAGCGGAGACAAGUUGUGUUCAAGACAGAGACACCAAGCAAUUUAAAAAAUGCUCCUCAGAUUUUCUGGAAAAACAAAACAACAACAACAAAAUGCUCAACCAGUGUUCUCCCUCCUCCACAAUGCUAAGUGGAUAUUUGUGAUAAAUUGUUGCUUUAUGUAUAUCCUGUCUCGAUUUGUCUUUUUUCGGUAAGGAUGUAAUUUUUUUUUUAAAGAAAUGACACUACCGACAACAGUUUACUUGAAUUCACCAACCUUGAAAUUGAUGCAUCUCCUAUCAAUCACUUUCUGGAGACACAGUGAAGCACAUUCCACAUUUGUACAUCAAUAGUGGCACACUCACAUCCGUGCUGUUCAGUUUAAGUGCACUGCAGGACGGCAUGUCACACUUUCCUGGAACAUCCUUUGGGUCAGUCAUCUGCUCGUCACAUUCUUAACCUAAUGAAAGUUCAAACUACAAUCUCUACUAGUAGAUUUUUGAGCUGAAAGGCGGCCUUGAGGUCAUUUGGUGUGGUCCCCUUAUUGUUCUGACUCAGAAGUGGAAUUUUGCAGAUGGCAACUGACUAGUCCAACUCAAAACUCACUAGCUAUAGGGUCUGAAAGGACCCCGAGGGUCUUAACACGAGGUUAAUUUUUCCUAUUAUCUGGUGCCUUCCCACUUUCUGAUGCCUGUAGUCCAGCAGUAGUUAUAGCAUUUAACAUAAACUUUUCUAACAUUUUCCCUGCCACUGCAGUGGCAGGGUGAUUCUUAUUAAAUAGUAAUAAGGUAUUGACUGUCCUGCCUGCCAAUAUGAAGAUUGGUUGUUGAUCUGUGAUGCCUGUAUCGAUCAGCUAAGAAUAAGGUCUAUCCUCUACCUUCGCUAUUGGCACAAAAACAAAUUUUGUAUUAAUAGAACUACAACUUUCCUUAUUUAUUGGUUGUACCUUAGUUCAGUCAAUCAAGCUAGAAACAGACAUAAAUAGGAAUAACAGAAAGAAACACCUCAAGAUCUAAAAAAGUAUCCACUAGGGCUAUUGAAACAUGGCCAGCGUUCCUUGGCGUCAACACAUGGCUUCCUUAUUGGUAAGUCUCACACCUCGGUCUUCUUCAUCCCAGGUUUAAUUUCACACAGACUCGCGCUUUUUAUACUAGGGGGCAUCUUAUUCAGUUCUGAAACGAUCUUCUAUUUGUGACGGGCUCUUCCGUCACCUUGUUAUUCCUGUAGCUUGCUGUCAGAAACGUCACUCCCAGUCUCCUCUGCACGGCUCUUCACCUGCUGUGGAGUGAUUGGGAAGCUCUGUUCUCUUCUUCCCCUACAGCAUACAGUGAGGGCGUGGGCGAGCCCGCUCAGUGGUUAAAGCACUUGCCACACAAGUGUGAGAAUCAGAAUUCAGAUCCCCAGAAGCCACAUGAAGGCCAGGUGGGCACGAUGGCUGUCCUCUACUUCCGGUGCUGGGGAGGUGGAAACAGGAUCCUGAGAUCAAAAUGGAUAGCUAGCGUAGCCAAAUCGGCAAGGGCUGGGUUCCAGUGAGAGACCUUGACUCAGUACAUGAGGUGAAGCACAUUUUGGGUUGGUUUGGUUUGGUUUUUGAGACAGGGUCCCUUUAAACAGUCUUGGCUGUUCUGGAGCUCUCUAUGUAGACCAGACUGGACUCGAACUCACAGAAAUCCUCCUGCUUCUGCUUCCCCAGUACUGGGAUUAAAGGUGUGUGUCAGGUGACAUGUAUUUGAAGAAGGCUCCUUAUGUCAGCCUCAGGGUUCCAUGUACACUGCCCACACACAUGCUAACACUCGUAUACACAAGCAAGCAACACAUACAUGCACAUGAAAAAGAAAUUGAGCACUUUCAUUUUCUAUCCUUCUCCUCCUUGCCCAGCCUGAGGUCUGUCUUAAGUCUACUAAGGAACAUUCAUGAUUUCUCUCUGAGAUAAGGAUUUUUAUCCCAGCAACUUCUUUAUAGAUUCACAUACCUAACUUCUGUGGGAAAUGUUUACAUAUAAAUAUUUGGGGGAGUGUUUUUUUUUUUUUCUUUUUCUUUGAGACAGGGUCUUCUUACACAUCUUGGAACUCUGUGUAAACCAGAUUGGCCUUGAACUCUCAGAGAUCUGCCUGCCUCUGCCUCCCAAGUACUGGGAGGAUUUGGGUGUAUUUUCUGAAUCUAUGAUUAGGUUGAA